rnacentral:rRNA from 1 species
ACGCUCGACAGUGUCAGCAGCCGCGGUAAUACGAAGGGGCUAGCGUUGCUCGGAAUUACUGGGCGUAAAGGGACGCGUAGGCGGAUCGUUAAGUCAGAGGUGAAAUCCCAGGGCUCAACCCUGGAACUGCCUUUGAUACUGGCGAUCUUGAGUAUGAGAGAGGUAUGUGGAACUCCGAGUGUAGAGGUGAAAUUCGUAGAUAUUCGGAAGAACACCAGUGGCGAAGGCGACAUACUGGCUCAUUUAC